rnacentral:rRNA from 1 species
AGCAGUAGCCACGGGAAUACGUAGGGGGCAAGCGUUGUCCGGAAUUAUUGGGCGUAAAGCGCGCGCAGGCGGUCAUUUAAGUCUGGUGUUUAAUCCCGGGGCUCAACCCCGGAUCGCACUGGAAACUGGGUGACUUGAGUGCAGAAGAGGAGAGUGGAAUUCCACGUGUAGCGGUGAAAUGCGUAGAUAUGUGGAGGAACACCAGUGGCGAAGGCGACUCUCUGGGCUGUAACUGACGCUGAGGCGCGAAAGCGUGGGGAGCAAACAGGAUUAGAUACCCCUGUAGUCCCUGUCUCUUAUACA